GCGAGAUUAUGGGCCGGGAGCCAGGAGUGAGUGUAUAGCUUGCGCCUGACUCCUUGCAGGCCUUGACCAAGUCACUACUCCUCGGAGGCUCAUUUUUCACUUCUAUAAAAUUAGGGUAUUUGGCAUCACAUAACCUAUAAGAUUCCUCCAGCUCUAGAAGUCUAUAAUUUUGAGUUUCAUUGGAGGUUUACUUUCUAGAACAUCUCUGUUGCUCUUGGGAUGGAGCAGUGCUGGUGGUUCAGCAUGCCUUUGGCCUCUGUUUUGCCAUUAUUGGCUUAUCAUUAAGUAACACGUCUCUUUAAGUUAUGUGACGUGUCACGUCUGUUGGACACACUGUUAAACAGCAAACACUUUAGCAGUUGGCAGGGUUUCUAGUAAAAUGUCGGGGAUGUUUGUUUGCCAUCCUGAGCCGCACUGAUGUUAGGAGAAAACAUGCAAGACUAUAUUUAGCGUGGUGGUUGGCCUCUUAAAAAGGCUUAAUGUGCGUGCCUGGGCCAGGUGAGAGGUGGUAAUAAUAGCACUUGAUAGGGUUCUGAGAGUGUAAAUGAGACAGUGGAUGUGAGGUGCUUAGUGCUUUCCCUGGGUUCUAGUAAGGGAGCAGAAAGUGUCAGUAAUUAGCGUUGCUUUUUGAACUAAACUGUUGACCUUUAAAUUUUUUUAUCAGUGAUGGGGUUUGUUGUUUUGGUUUGAACGGAUAUGCCCAAGCAGCUCUGUUUGGAGGCACUGGUUUCAAGAAGCAAAUGAACACAUUUUGAUCAUUACAAAAUAAGCAUUUUUGCUGUCAUAAUUCAUUUUGACUGACUAAAAAGUGAUUGGUUAGGUAGCAUGUGUUCAAAUGAAGGUUUUGUAUUUUCUGUAAAUUGAAGAAAACAAUUCGUCCUGAAGCUCCCUUACUAGUAAUGGCCGGGAUUAAGUUUCACCGGGCCUGUGGUUAAGUUAAUAUGUACUUGUGGUGACUGCCUUAGAAAAGUUGUGUGGACUUGAAAGCCCGCUGCUGCUGAGGGAGAAAGGUGGCUGUGAGGUAGUUUAUAGUAAAAGGUAAACAUUUUACAGUUGACUGAGUGCCUUCCAGAUCUUCAACUGAAGGUCUUCACCACAAUCCAGGCAGUGGUGUGGGUGAUGGACUUCUCAUUUGACAGGUUUGGAAACUGAGGCAGAGGCCUCACGGCUGGGAAUGUGCUGGUGUUUCCUUGUCUCCAGACCCUGGCUCCCCCCGACCCCCGGCCCUUUCUGGUGGAGCUGUCCGGGUCUGGGGCUGAGCGUCUCCUUUGCAGUUCAAAGGCUUUUGUGUCCAUUUGCGCCUUGUUUCCAGCUCAAGUGAACCUGCUCCUGCUAAUGGAAGUGGAAAUGCAUCGCUCAUCCAGAUCCCAGGAUUCACAGAUGGAUUCAGUGGAAAAGACAACAACUAGAAGUGAACAGAAAUCGAGUAGAAAGUUUUUGAAAAGCCUCAUCCGGAAACAGCCCCAGGAACUGCUCUUGGUCAUUGGGACCGGUGUCAGUGCUGCAGUGGCCCCGGGGAUCCCUGCCCUCUGCUCGUGGAGAAGCUGCAUCGAGGCUAUCAUCGAGGCCGCAGAGCAGCUGGAGGUGCUUCACCCAGGGGACGUCGCCGAGUUCCGCAGGAAAGUAAUGAAGGACCGGGACCUGCUGGUUGUUGCCCAUGAUCUGAUCCGGAAGAUGUCACCUCGCACAGGCGACACCAAGCCCAACUUCUUCCAGGACUGCCUGAUGGAGAUCUUCGACAGCCUGGAGCAGCACAUCCAGAACCCGCUGGUGCUGCAGUCCAUCCUCAGCCUGAUGGAGCGGGGCACGAUGGUCCUGACCACCAACUACGACAACCUGCUGGAGAUCUUUGGGCAGCAGCAGAACAAGCCCAUGGAGUCUCUGGAUUUGAAGGACAAGACCAAGGUCCUUCAGUGGGCAAGAGGACACAUCAGAUACGGAGUCCUCCACAUUCACGGCUUAUACACAGACCCCUGCGGGAUGGUACUGGAUCCAUCAGGAUAUAAAGAUGUCACUCAGGACCCAGAAGUCAUGGAAGUUCUCCAGAACUUGUACCGCACCAAAUCUUUUCUGUUUGUGGGCUGUGGAGAGACCCUUCGUGAUCAGAUUUUCCAAGCUCUUUUCCUUUACUCAGUGCCAAAUAAGGUGGAUUUAGAGCACUACAUGGUUGUGCUCAAAGAGAAUGAAGACCAUUUCUUUAAGCACCAAGCAGACAUGCUUUUGCACGGGAUUAAAGUAGUGUCCUACGGGGACUGCUUCGACCACUUCCCGGGGUACGUGCAAGAGCUGGCCACGCAGAUCUGCAAGCAGCGCAGUCCAGAUGCCGAUGGAGUGGACAGCACCACAUUGUUGGGUAAUGCAUGCCAGGACUGUGCGAAGAGGAAGUUAGAAGAGAAUGGAAUUGAAGCUUCCAAAAAACUCCGACCGUCAGAUACGGAGAGAGACCAAGGUGCAUCUUCUCAGUGCUGCUGACCACACGGGCAGGCUGCAACGCUUGAAGGAAGGUGGCAGGCCCCUAGCCGCACGGCAGUCCUGUAUGAUGCUGGAGGGUCUUGAAAUCUUUAAAACCAAUAAAACCUGCAACUUGAAAACCGGCCUCUGUAACCGCAGUGCCAUACCCAGCCGUGAGGGACGUUCCGAGACCUCCACGUGGGAUCUCAGCU